CUACGGGAGGCUCCAGUGAGGAAUAUUGCACAAUGGGGGAAACCCUGAUGCAGCAACGCCGCGUGGAGGAUGACGCAUUUCGGUGUGUAAACUCCUUUUAUAUGUCAAGAAAAUGACGGUAGCAUAUGAAUAAGCACCGGCUAACUCCGUGCCAGCAGCCGCGGUAAUACGGAGGGUGCAAGCGUUACUCGGAAUCACUGGGCGUAAAGGACGCGUAGGCUGGUUGGUAAGUCAGGUGUGAAAUCCUACAGCUUAACUGUAGAACUGCACUUGAAACUACCAACCUAGAGUAUGGGAGGGGGAGAUGGAAUUAGUGGUGUAGGGGUAAAAUCCGUAGAUAUCACUAGGAAUACCGAAAGCGAAGGCGAUCUCCUGGAACAUAACUGACGCUAAGGCGUGAAAGCGUGGGGAGCAAACAGGAUUAGAUACCCGGGUAGUC
rnacentral:rRNA from 1 species